AUGGCGUUAGCAUUACAGCUCCUUGGAGUUCUGUUCCUCUGGGUUCCAGCUUCCAGGGGUGAGAUUGUGCUGACCCAGACUCCAGCCUCCCUGUCUGGGACUCGAGGGGAAAGUGCCACCAUCACCUGCCGGAGCAGUCAGAGCAUCAGCACCAGCUUACACUGGUACCAGAAGAAACCAAAUCAGAGCCCAAAGCUCCUUGUGAAGUAUGCUUCCCAGUCUGUCCCAGGCAUCCCCUCCCGCUUCAGCGGCAGCGGGUCCGGGACAGACUUCACGCUCACCAUCAGCAGCCUGGAGCCUGAGGAUGCCGCCACUUACUACUGUAUGGAGAGUAAAGGCUGGUUCCCACAGUGA